GGACUGAACGGGCUGCGGCUUUAUAAGGCACUUCCCAUCGCGGGCGGCGACGUCGAGUCCCGGCUGCGGCGCCUCCCUCCUGCCUCCCGCUGACCCGCCGCGGGCGGUCCCGGCCCAGAGCUGCACGCAAAUCGCCUCCUCCCUGGUCUGCCAACUGCUAGGCGAGGCUGGUCCUGCGCUCUCCCCGCGCGCAAGGCGACUUUCUCCUCGUUCCCACUCUGGAUCCUCGGGAUUCUCCAGCCCCGAAGUGAAGAGAAAGAAAAUACAAAGAUUGAGAGCUUUUUCCCCAGAUAACUCUGAGUGGCCCAUAUAUUUGGCAAUAGACUGUAUAAAAAGCAGGGACCUCAGAGUUGUGAAGCGGUUUCAGGGAUCGACAGGAGCUCACGAGUGUUAUCUUUGAGUUUCAUGUUUCUUACUGGUGGAAGCGACUACUUGACCCACUUUCCAUGGGCUGCCAAAGAUCAUCUUGAGCAGGGAAACAGGUUCUAACACGUAGUCAGGAUUUUCCAAUCAAGAGAAAAUGGAAUUGAGGAGAGUAUUUUCAGAAGAUUGGGAAUCCCACAUUCAAAGAAAUGUAAUUCUUCUAAGACUAUAACUGCACAGAAUGCCACAGUGACCCUGAUGCCUGCAGGGAACUGAAUCCAAGAUGCCUCAAAGAGACCAACGUUCUGUGAGAUGGUAGUUCUUCCAAACAGCCUGUGCACAGACACCAUAUACUUUAUUUUAUUCCUCUUAUUUUAUUUUACAAGAAUGAAACCCAGAGCCUUGUGCAUGCUACACAAAUACUCUGACACUGAGGUACAUCUCCAGUUCUUUUCUGUUUAUUUUUGGACAGAGUCCUUGCUAUGUUGCCCAGGCUGGCUUUAGGCUUGCCUCUUGUAACGUGGUCCACCACCAUGCCUGUAAUGUAAAUGUGUAAUGUCAAUCAUCUCUAAAG
rnacentral:lncRNA from 1 species